CCAUUCUGUUCAUGCCUAGCACAACAACAAAUUGAAGAGAACCUACAUUACAUGGCAUAAAAUCCAGUUAAGAAGAAAAUCUAAUGUGAUAUGUAACUAUAUGGAUACACUUGAGUUGUUAUAAUUAUUGAGGAAUUUAGAAUGGCAAAUUUAAGAAAAUAAUUCAAAUUAUUGCUUUUUCUAUAGAGGCCCUAUAACCUGAAUAUAGCUGCACAGAAGAUCAUCAGGUAAAAAAAAACUUUAGUAGAUUCAUGAAAAGCAAAUGCCAAGAUAAAAAGUCUGACAUAACUGUCCAGAUUUUGUAUCAACCAGUCAUAUAUAUACAAGCAUUUUGCCUCUAUAAACCACAUUUUAAUGGUGGAGUAAUCAAUCUGAACAAUUUUAAAUUAAAAACAAAAUAUCUAAAGACUAAGCUCUAGUUCAUGUAUUUUAGAGAAGUUCAGUUCGGCAAAACUACGGAAGCAAAGGUCUGAAGAUAUCGAUACACGUCAAACUAUGUAUUUCCAUCAGCCUAGAAAUUCCGAGAACUACAUGGUACCGAUACACGUCGAACUCUGUUAAAGGGGUACAGUUACAAGGCCAGAAAGGUGGUUCAAGUAACGAUGCAGGGUGCUGAACAGACCUGCUUCAACUUCCUCAGAGAUUCUUCUGCAUCUGCUAGCUUCUCUGAAACUGUUUUCUCAAGAUCAGAAGAGUAACCUUUUCCUUCUUCCAUGUUUCAGAGGUAGUAUUUGAGUGUGAGCAAAGAGCCUUCCACACAGAAGAACUGUUGAAAAGACAAGUAACAGCAAGAUCUUUCCUACACAAGCAACAGCAAAGAAUUGUUGAGAGUAUCAUCAAAUUUAAUUUUUUUGAACUUUUAUGACAAAUUUUGACCCAAAAAAAGUUCUCAGAAUUUUUUAAAUUUUCACAGAUCAUCAACCAUACCGGGUGUAGCAAUGUAGCACGUUGAGAGCAUAGUCAAAAUUAAAAUUUAAAAAGUUCUCGGUUUUUUUGAAUUUUUCACAAAUCAUCAAACCUACCAAAUGUACUAAUCUGGGAAAUUUUACACAAAAAAUAUGAAUAAUUCCUAGAAGGCAGGCAGUGGUAAGCGAAUAAAUUUCAGUUCAAAUCGGCAUUCCAAAUAUCAGCCAGUUAAUUGGCAUCUCGGUGAGUUAACCGCUACUCGGUUGGUCAGCGAAUUCACCUAUUUAUCCCUACUCAGCACCCGACCAAUAUGGUACCAAUUACCGAUAUCUUGAACAUUGCAAAUCGGGUAUCUAAACUAUUCUCUCAGCAGUAUAAUUGCAUUCUUAUAGAAAAGAAAGCAAGUAAAAAGUAGGAGGUACUUUCUAGAAAGCAGCAAGAUUGAAGUAUACACUGAUUUAUUUGUAAGAUGUAUCAUUAUUAUAUUCAACAUAUAACAUGGUUGACAACAAUAGGGGGCAGAAAUAAAUAUUGCUAGAGCUUUGAACAAAAGCUAAUUACUAUAGCUCUGUAUCGUUGCAUGUUGUUAUCUGAAUUCAGUAAAUCUACUAUGCUUGUGCUCUUUAGGAAACAUCUCCAAAGAUUUGCAACAAUUCCAGUAUAACAUCUCCAGGUUUUUGAAGUCAUGUUCAUUAUUAUUCUUUCGUAUAGAGUUGUUUACUAAUUUCAGUUCUUCUUGAAACAUCACACAUCACUGGCUACUGCUUCUUUUCCAAAAUGGGAAUGCGCCAAAAAUACAUAGCCUAAAAUUACAUAAUACAACCUUGACCAACAGUUUGCGAGAAGAACUUCAGAAAAGAAGGGAAUAUUAAGAAAAAAAGAAACAGAGAAAUAUUGUAAUGGUUACGAAGUUGUCUUUAUGAAUGUGAUCAGCACUUCUAAGGUAAUAUUGCAAGGUGCACAACACCUUGUAAGUUGCAGAAACACAUAUGGGGAUCUUCAAAAAACUCAAACCUUCGAAGCACUGUCACUGUAUAAAUAGUAAAUUCUAAUUCUUGGGAACUUAGAAAUAUAAAAUCAGUGCUGACAUGACAGUGGAGAGCAUAGUGAACACAAUAGUGCUUAAGAAAUUUGUCUGCGGUCUUCUCUAGAUAUGGUUAUAACAUCACCUUGCAUGAAUACAUCAUGUUAUAGUUGAGGGCAUUGGACAACCUCUACAUGCACUGGGUGGUCUAUUUAAUAUUCUUAAAAGAUCCAUGUCAAAAGAUAAGAAUUUGACGGUAUAAGUAGAAGAACACAUGUGUAGUUAUUGAUAGAAACAGAGAAGUAACUAUAAUCCAAACAAUGCUUCAGCAAGAAAACAUACUUGCUCUUAACUGGACAGUAGUCAUUGCUCGCGAAAUGUUGUUGGCCAUCUGAAGAGCAGGUGCGGGAGAGAGACGAGUGGCGGCCUAAUUUUGGCUGUCAUAAGUGUCGGGAUCCGCCUCCCUUAGGUUCUUCACAUCGAGGACUGGCCUGAAUUUAUUUGGGUGUCGGUUCCCUGACUCUUGGAAUGUAACAAAGGAUCAAUGGAUUAGUAACAAAACUAACUGAUUGUAGCUUGUAUACGUUAUAUGUACUCACUAUUUUACUGAGACAUAUCAACACUAUAAUGCAGAAAAUGCAUGCAGAUCAACAUAACUGCACAAAAACCACCCAUGCACGACACUGAAAAUUGUACGAGAGGCUAGAGCUAUUUUGUGCUGAUCGAAACAAUAUAUAUUCAAGGAAAUCUGUAUUUAUA
rnacentral:lncRNA from 1 species